CAACUACUCCCUCUAUCCCAAAUUUCUUGUCUUAGAUUUGUCUAGAUACAGAUGUAUCUGUGACUUGAUACAUCUGUAUCUAGACAAAUCUAAGACAAGUAUUUUGGGAUGGAGGGAGUACUUU
rnacentral:pre_miRNA from 1 species